rnacentral:rRNA from 1 species
GACAGAGGUGCCGAGCGUUAGGCGGAAUCACUGGGCUUAAAGCGUGUGUAGGCGGACGGGUAAGUACCUUGUGAAAUCCCACGGCUCAACCGUGGAACUGCUGGGGUAUACUGCCUGUCUUGAGUCAUCUAGGGGCGAGCGGAACAAAUGGUGGAGCGGUGAAAUGCGUAGAUAUCAUUUGGAACGCCAAUGGUGAAAAACAGCUCGCUGGGGGAUGUACUGACGCUGGGGGGUGCGAAAAGCAUGGGGGAGCGAACAGG